GCUCAGAAACUACAAAUAGAAGUUGACGGGGGCCCGCACAAGCGGUGGAGUAUGUGGUUUAAUUCGAUGCAACGCGAAGAACCUUACCUGGUCUUGACAUCCCGGAGACCCUUAGGAAACUAGGGGGUGCUUCCAUCUGGAAGAAUCUGGAGACAGGUGCUGCAUGGCUGUCGUCAGCUCGUGUCGUGAGAUGUUGGGUUAAGUCCCGCAACGAGCGCAACCCUUGCCUUUAGUUGCCAGCAGUUCGGCUGGGCACUCUAAAGGGACUGCCGGUGUUAAACCGGAGGAAGGUGGGGAUGACGUCAAGUCCUCAUGGCCUUUAUGACCAGGGCUACACACGUACUACAAUGGCCGAUACAAAGGGCAGCGACACUGCGAGGUGAAGCCAAUCCCGUAAAAUCGGUCUCAGUCCGGAUUGGAGUCUGCAACUCGACUCCAUGAAGUUGGAAUCGCUAGUAAUCGUGGAUCAGCAUGCCACGGUGAAUACGUUCCCGGGCCUU
rnacentral:rRNA from 1 species